rnacentral:rRNA from 1 species
ACGUUAUUCGGAAUCACUGGGCUUAAAGCGCGUGUAGGCGGGGCGGUGCGUCGGCCGUUGAAAUCCCCCGGCUCAACCGGGGAAGGGGCGCCGAAACGACCGUCCUGGAGCGACGUAGGGGGAACUGGAACUUCCGGUGGAGCGGUGAAAUGCGUUGAGAUCGGAAGGAACGCCCGUGGCGAAAGCGAGUUCCUGGACGUCGGCUGACGCUGAGACGCGAAAGCCA